rnacentral:other from 1 species
GGGCAGCUGCCUGGUGCGUCAGGCUCUUCGCAUCCCUGGGGCUAUACCCAUUCUCUCGGGAGCUGUCCCUGUCGCGGUCGUGGCCGUGGCACAUGGCACCCACCUGCUUGGCAGGCCACAGAGGAUGGACUACGCCAACGGCCAAGGCGGCUGCACU